CGGGAGAUGGACUGGGAACGGCUACUUCGAGGACCUUUUUCGGGCGUUAACUAGUCGACUCAGAACUAGUACGGACAAGGAGAAUUUGGCUGUCUAAUUAAAACAAAGCAUUGUAAUGGUCCCUGUGAAUGCUCACGCAAUGUGAUUUUUGUCUAGUGCUCUGAAUGUUAAAGUGAAGAAAUUCAACCAAGCGCGGGUAAACGACGGGAGUAACUAUGACUCUCUUAAGGUAGCCAAAUCCCUCGUCAUCUAAUUAGUGAUGCGCAUGACUGGAUUAAUAAGAUUCCCACUGUCCCUGUCUACUAUCCAGUGAAACCACAACCAAGGGAACGAGCUUGA
rnacentral:rRNA from 1 species